UAUUUCUGGCUUGUCCCCUCGUGCCUGCCGCGGUUUCGUGUGUACGUGCAUGCGGGGUGAGCCAUCCUUCCACUUGGCUUGGUUGGACUCUUCAUUGAGUACAGUCAGGUAGUGGAUCUUUUACUUUGAAAAAAUUAGAGUGUUUCAAGCAGGCUUCGUGCUAUGAAUACAUUAGCAUGGAAUAAUAAUUUAGGACUUCGGUUCUAUUUUGUUGGUUUCUAGGACUGAAGUAAUGAUUGAUAGGGAUAGUUGGGGGUGCUAGUAUUCAGCGGCCAGAGGUGAAAUUCUUGGAUUCGCUGAAGACUAACUUAUGCGAAAGCAUU
rnacentral:rRNA from 1 species